rnacentral:rRNA from 1 species
CUACGGGGGGCUGCAGUGAGGAAUAUUGCACAAUGGGGGGAACUCUGAUGCAGCAACGCCGCGUGGAGGAUGACACUUUUCGGAGCGUAAACUCCUUUUAUAUAGGAAGAAGAUGACGGUACUAUAUGAAUAAGCGCCGGCUAACUCCGUGCCAGCAGCCGCGGUAAUACGGAGGGCGCAAGCGUUACUCGGAAUCACUUGGCGUAAAGAGCGUGUAGGCGGAUUAAAAAGUCAGAAGUGAAAUCCUAUAGCUUAACUAUAGAACUGCUUCUGAAACUCUUAAUCUAGAAUAUGGGAGAGGUAGAUGGAAUUUCUGGUGUAGGGGUAAAAUCCGUAGAGAUCAGAAGGAAUACCGAUUGCGAAGGCGAUCUACUAGAACAUUAUUGACGCUGAGACGCGAAAGCGUGGGGAGCAAACAGGAUUAGAUACCCUUGUAGUC